GUACCUUCAAGCUCUGCUUGGUGAUGGGUGUUUGUCCUGUUUCGACUGGACUCGCCUUAAAAUUAUUGGCAGCCGGCAUAUUGGCCUUUGGAGCGCAGCACAUUUUGCGAUCUAAGCCUGUAUAUUGGUAUCCACGAAGCCUCAUUAUCAC
rnacentral:misc_RNA from 1 species